CAGGCCUAACACAUGCAAGUCGAGCGCGCCCUUCGGGGUGAGCGGCGGACGGGUUAGUAACGCGUGGGAACGUGCCCUUUGGUACGGAAUAGCCUCUGGAAACGGAGAGUAAUACCGUAUGAGCCCUUCGGGGGAAAGAUUUAUCGCCAAAGGAUCGGCCCGCGUUAGAUUAGGUAGUUGGUGGGGUAAUGGCCUACCAAGCCUACGAUCUAUAGCUGGUUUUAGAGGAUGAUCAGCAACACUGGGACUGAGACACGGCCCAGACUCCUACGGGAGGCAGCAGUGGGGAAUCUUGGACAAUGGGGGCAACCCUGAUCCAGCCAUGCCGCGUGAGUGAUGAAGGCCUUAGGGUCGUAAAGCUCUUUCGCCUGUGAAGAUAAUGACGGUAGCAGGUAAAGAAACCCCGGCUAACUCCGUGCCAGCAGCCGCGGUAAUACGGAGGGGGUUAGCGUUGUUCGGAAUUACUGGGCGUAAAGCGCGCGUAGGCGGAUUAGUAAGUCAGAGGUGAAAUCCCGGGGCUCAACCCCGGAACUGCCUUUGAUACUGCUAGUCUUGAGUUCGAGAGAGGUGAGUGGAAUUCCGAGUGUAGAGGUGAAAUUCGUAGAUAUUCGGAGGAACACCAGUGGCGAAGGCGGCUCACUGGCUCGAUACUGACGCUGAGGUGCGAA
rnacentral:rRNA from 1 species